rnacentral:misc_RNA from 1 species
ACAAACUUGGUCAUUUAGAGGAAGUAAAAGUCGUAACAAGGUUUCCGUAGGUGAACCUGCGGAAGGAUCAUUACUGAAGUCGCUGAGGGGUUCGUUGCUGGCUCCCCGGAGCACUGUGCACGCCUCUCACACUUUCAUUCAACCACCUGUGCACCUCCUGUAGUCUUUCAGACGCUUUCAGUCUUCGGACUGGUGGGGACUCGCUGCCUUCUUCGAGAGGAAAGGCUUCAGUCCGAUGUCUGAGGGGCUACGUCUCUACACAUACUCUGUCGUAAGAAACAUUAGAAUGUAAUCACGGUCUUCACAGACCUUAAAACUUUAAUACAACUUUCAACAACGGAUCUCUUGGCUCUCGCAUCGAUGAAGAACGCAGC